UUUCUUAUGUGCUUUUGCACAAAAGUUAUUUUAAGGUUUUAUUACAAAACCAAAACAACAACAAAUUACAAUUGACAUACAUACAUAUAACCAAAUUAAAUUAUGAAUAUAACUAAAAUUAAUCAUAUAUAUACAACUGCACAUUUAUUUGCAAAUGUAUUUAUAUUUAAUUAUUUAUUGAAAAUUUAAGUAAUAUAAAAAAAAACAAAAGUUAAACUAUAGGUUUGUGAAAAAAAAAACAAAAUAAUUAUAGAAUUGUAAAAAGGGGAAAAUACUGUAGAAAAACAAGUACAUAGGUAUAAAAAAAACCAAAUUAUAAGCUCACUGUUUUAUGUCUUCCUAGUAUUCAUUCUUAAUGUCUCAUUGGAACAACCAUACUACAUUGCAUCUACCCAAAUGCAUUAAAAGUUUCCAUUUUCCUCCCAAAAAAUUAAUGUUAAAAAGUUUAAGUUAAAAAUAACCAAUUUACUUGAAAUUUAUUGUUUCUUAUAUGUGGGCAACACUAAGCAUCAAGAAACCUAAAACUUCCUAUUAAUAAAACUAUAGUCGCUUACAAAAAAAAAAAAAAAAAAAACAUAAAUUCAUAAAAAUAAUAAAUCAUCUUUGCAUUUUUAAUAUGUAUCACACUGUUAAUAUUGUAUUACAACAGAAGUAAUGUUCUUUUAAUACGUUUUUUGCGAUUAUCCAGAAAUCUGUGUGUAUAUCUUAACACAUCAAACCUAAGGAAAAAUAUGAAAACAAAAACCAAAGAAAUUUAACCGCUAUAAACUUAAAUGAAACAAUAUUUUAAAUGAAAUGAAAACAAAAAAAAAUUUAAGAAAAAAAAAAAUAGAAAAUAAUCUCAUUUACACCAUAAUUUUAAAGUGCGUGACUUAUUUUAUUAGUUAAUUUUGAACCUUUUACAAAAUCCCUAUUUACAUACAAAAAAGAAAAUAUAUAUAUACAUAUACAUAUAUUUAUCGUGUAAGUCCAUUUUACUAAAUUAAAUUUUGACAACAAAAUUAAAAAAUAAACCAAAAAUUGCAUAUAUAUAUACUUAUAUAUAUAAAAAUUUAAAGAAAAAAAAACAUUUAUAUUAUAAACAAAUAAAUGUGUGUAUAUAUACAAAUUUAUGUGUUAUACAAAAUCUGUUCAACUUUGGAUGAUUGUUUAGAAUUAUUAAUAACAAAAUUAAAUCACAAGCUAAGGGGAGACAAUACAAAUGCUAAAAAAUUACACCACAAAAAAAAAUCAUUUACGUAAAAUUUAAAAUUUUGAAUUGAAAAAAAAAUAUGAUAAAUAAAAGUAAUGUUCUAGAAGUUUGAACUGCAUUUUAACAACUUAACAAAUGGAAGUUAAAACAAGCGUAAAUCUUUGCAGUUCUAAAUGUUUUAAACACUAUGUUGAGACUUAACACACACAUUGUAGAAAGAAUGAGUUUCAGAACAAAUAUAAUGGAAUAAGAUACUUAUAAAAAUGAGAUUAAUCACCUUUUAUCCUGCUUUUUGCACUGAUUGCAAAUAGAUUAAUUUUUGUUCUUAUACAUAAUGUAUUUAGAUUUUGCUUCCAUAGUUUCAUAAUAAUGGUUUGCUUAUGGUUGGAAAAAAAACAUAAAAAUACAACAACUAUACAAAAAUAUAUAAUAUUGUUAUGAACACAUUUAUGAGUGUAGGUAUAUAGUUCUGUUUAAAAAAAAUUAAUUAAAACAAAAAAAAACUUAUAAAAAAUCAGGUAAAAUGUUAAAACGCCUGAGUUAAUUAUUUUUAUUUACAACAGUUAAUUAAAUAGAUUUGUUUUAAUGCAAUAUUUGUUUUAGUCCAUGAACCAAAUAUACUAAAAAUAAAAAAAAAAGAAAACAAAAUACUUAUAAAAUUAGUGUACCUAUUCAAUGAAAAUUACUUCACUUUAAAAAUUCGUAGUUUGUGUACACAACACACAUGUGUAUAAAAAAAUAUAAUAAUAAUAAUUACUCAAAAUGUUAAAAUAGUGUACAUAAAGAAAAAAGUAUUUUGGAGAUGAACUUACAAUUUUAUAAAAAAAAAAAAAAACAAACAGUUAUUGAAUUUCUUAUUCAUGUAUGAAACAUCAAAAAAACGUAUGAAACUCUUCUUGAAAAUUAACAAAUUUAGAUGCAAAAUAUAUUAUAAACAUUUGUCGUGAAUGCAUGUAAUGUAUACAUGUGAAACUGUAUCUUUAUACCAUAAGCUAACAAACAAAAAAAUUUAUAACUUAAAUAUUACGAAUUUCAUAAGUAAAUUUUUAGUGUUUAGAUAACAAAAAUAAAAAUAAAUUAAAAAAAAAAACAAAAAUAAAACAAACAACUAAUUGAAAGCAAUGGUCCUCUACCUAAGUAUAUUGAAUUAAAUUUAAUAGUUUAUAGUGAAUAAACAAAAAAAAAAAAAAAACAAAACAAAAAUUUAAAAAAAACUUCUAUAUAUAUGUAUUUAAUAUAACUUAUAAAUGAAUUAUUAUACAACUAUGACCUAGACUUCAAUUAACUUUUUUUUAGUAUAACUGUAUUAACUAACUUUAUAAAUAUAUACAAAGCAUAUAUACAUCUGUAUAUGUUUUUUGACAUAUAUACAUAUUAUGUUUAAUUACAAUGUACUAUCAUAUUAUUUUUUUUUUAAAUAACAAACAAAAUUAAUUAAUACAAAUCCCUGUUUCAACGAAAGCGCAAUGAAAACUACAAACAACAUAUAUACCUACUAAUUAAAUUAUAUACUGUAUACAUAUAUUUAUAUAUAGCCAUCAAAUAAGUUAAAAAAUGUUCAAGAAAUAAAAAAAAAACAAUGCAAAACAAAAAAAAAAAAUAAUAAAUUACUAUCUAGAUUAAAUCAGAAAUACACUUUUCAAAAUUGGUAAUAAAGUUUGGUAAGCUUAAAAAGAAGCAAACUUAAUUAACACAUAUUUAUCUACAUAUAAAAAUUAUUAUAUUAUACACACUUAUAUUAAAAAUUUAAUAAAACAAACAACAAAUGAUAAAGCUUUGAAUUUUAGAACAGAGGUCACUUAUUUUUUAUAAAAAAAAGUUUUUAAAUUCAAAAUAUUUUGUUUUUGUUUAUUAAAUUUUCUUUUUAUGAAAAUAAGACGACAAUUUUUACUUUUUGCAUUAAUUAUUUAUAAAAACAAAAUAGAUAUUAACACGAAAUUCAUAAACAGUUAAUUUUAUAAUACAAAUAACUUUGAAUGAACACAACUGUUUCAAUUAUUACAAAAAUAAAAUUAAAAAAAUACAAUGUUGGUGAAAGGAAUACAAAAACAAAAAACAAAUGAAAUGGGUAUAAUGAAUGUGUUGAUGACAAAAGCAAUAAUAUAUACACAUUUUUUUCUAUUAAUUCAAAUAAAUAUUAGUUAUUUAUUAUAUGAUUUUUUGAUAAUAUAAAAUUUACCAAAAAUUGUUGUAAACAUUGAAAAAAAAAAUAAUUAAAAAAAAGAUCAAGAUAAAUAAUGAAAUAAAACAAUCAUUGUAGAUGAAAUUAUUUUUAAUUAUGUAAAUGGUUGUGAAAUAUUUUUUAAUUUUUUUAUUUUAUCUAUAAAUGAGUUAAACUUGGUUAAAACUUAAAAAAAAAAAAUACUUGUCAUUUGAAUAAGAAUAAAAAAGAAAAGAAUGUUUUUUAUUUCUAUUGUUUGUAUUUGGGUAAUAUGUGAAACAUGUUAAACAAAUAAUAGUAUAGAUGUUGUUUUUUUUUUUUUUAAUUUCAUUAAUUAUUUGCAUGUGUGUGAUUUUAUGAAAAGUAUAAAUGUCGCGUUAUUUUUAUGUACCUACUACAAAAUGUUUGUAGGUUUUUUAAAAGUUUUUAGUUAGAUUGUAACUUUUGUCGUUAAAACUUAAGAAAUGAGAUUAUGAAUAGAAAGGAUUCUUUAUAACUAAUCCCACUCAAUAAAGGAGUGAUUCCUAUUUUACUUUUGAGUGAGGUUAAGUAAAUUUAACAAAUCGUGUUGGUACUUAUUUUUUAU